CAGCUGCGUUCAAUCACCUGCCACGGAGAGGAGAAGGAGCAGAAUCUGAAGGAGAACAGAGGAGAACUCAGCACACACACUUAGCAAUUUCAUGAAUGAUGAUGACAAAGCCUACAAGUUUUUUAUUUGAAUCUAACCUAUCAAAUAGCUGAAGUAGCCGAACAGGAUUGCAUCAUCAAAAUAGUGCUCUAACUGCGCGUGAACCUUCACCUCACCAGUGUGGAAACAUUUCCUCUCCCCCUGCUCCCUGUGGGUUUGAUCAAGGGAUUUAUGAGGAGUGUCAUCACGGUUCGGCAACCAGUUCUGCGGUGAUGCCUGUCCGCUAGGUUACCAUGACUACCUGACACUGAAGGCACCUCUUCAUCCAUCUGUGCUGCAGCAGUCGCUUCCACCUUGCCCGGCUCUAACCUAUCCACCCACCAUUCCUUCCAUCAGUUCUUCCCCCUGCAAUACAAGCGGCAUUCGCCCAUAGAAAGGAAGAUAAGGUCGAGGCUGCUGGCUUUUUGAAAGCACCGACACCGCAAGAGCUGAACUCAGUCGACAAAAGCGAGGGAGCGACAAGCAACGGGGG
ensembl:lncRNA